GACGAACGCUGGCGGCGUGCCUAAUACAUGCAAGUAGAACGCUGAAGAGAGGAGCUUGCUCUUCUUGGAUGAGUUGCGAACGGGUGAGUAACGCGUAGGUAACCUGCCUUUUAGCGGGGGAUAACUAUUGGAAACGAUAGCUAAUACCGCAUAACAAUGGAUGACCCAUGUCAUUUAUUUGAAAGGGGCAAAUGCUCCACUACAAGAUGGACCUGCGUUGUAUUAGCUAGUAGGUGAGGUAACGGCUCACCUAGGCGACGAUACAUAGCCGACCUGAGAGGGUGAUCGGCCAAACUGGGACUGAGAAACGGGCCAGACUCCUACGGGAGGCAGCAGUAGGGAAUCUUCGGCAAUGGGGGCAACCCUGACCGAGCAACGCCGCGUGAGUGAAGAAGGUUUUCGGAUCGUAAAGCUCUGUUGUAAGUCAAGAACGAGUGUGAGAGUGGAAAGUUCACACUGUGACGGUAGCUUACCAGAAAGGGACGGCUAACUACGUG
rnacentral:rRNA from 1 species